rnacentral:rRNA from 1 species
CACGUAGGGCGCGAGCGUUGUCCGGAAUUAUUGGGCGUAAAGAGCUCGUAGGCGGCCUGUUGCGUCCGCUGUGAAAGCCCGGGGCUUAACCCCGGGUCUGCAGUGGAUACGGGCAGGCUAGAGGUAGGUAGGGGAGAAUGGAAUUCCCGGUGUAGCGGUGAAAUGCGCAGAUAUCGGGAGGAACACCGGUGGCGAAGGCGGUUCUCUGGACCGUAACUGACGCUGAGGCGCGAAAGCGUGGGGAGCAAACAGG